rnacentral:rRNA from 1 species
GACGAACGCUGGCGGCGUGCUUAACACAUGCAAGUCGAGCGGUAAGGCCCUUCGGGGUACACGAGUGGCGAACGGGUGAGUAACACGUGGGUGAUCUGCCCUGCACUUCGGGAUAAGCCUGGGAAACUGGGUCUAAUACCGGAUAGGACCACUGCCUGCAUGGGUGGUGGUGGAAGGCUUUUGCGGUGUGGGAUGGGCCCGCGGCCUAUCGGCUUGUUGGUGGGGUGAUGGCCUACCAAGGCGACGACGGGUAGCCGGCCUGAGAGGGUGACCGGCCACACUGGGACUGGGAUACGGCCCAGACUCCUACGGGAGGCAGCAGUGGGGAAUAUUGCACAAUGGGCGCAAGCCUGAUGCAGCGACGCCGCGUGAGGGAUGACGGCCUUCGGGUUGUAAACCUCUUUCAGCACCGACGAAGCGCAAGUGACGGUAGGUGCAGAAGAAGAACCGGCCAACUACGUGCCAGCCGCCGCGGUAA